UAAUUUAUAAAACGGUUUCAUACCAAUUUGAUAAAUAGCUUCCCCGUGGCCUUCUCUGAGACGCCAUUUCAUUUGUGUUACAAGAUGUUCAAACCGUUGACUAGAUGGAUUUAUUAGCUUUAGUUUAUAUUCAACAUUACCCUGUUCAGGUUCUGGUGGUAGUCUUUCCUCCUGAUCAUCAUCAAUACUUGAAUUUUCACAGUCUGACAUUCGAUUUCCUUCAUUCUCUGAAUCAUUCCAAGUAUCUUUCUGGCUGUGUUUGUUAUUAUCUGGAUCAAACAAUUCCAAGAAUGACUCCAUUGCAUUUUACAAACAGUAGUUUUCCCUUCGCAGGAUGUAUACUCCUGAAAUCGAAAUCGCGUUUGACACCCACGUCAGAGUUGAAUAACACAGCAUGCGAACCUCUCACUUUCCCUCCCGCUUUUUUCAACACCUGACUGUGCACGAUUCAAUCGAGAUCUGACUGUUACCAGCCUCGACGAUUCAUUCUUCUGCGCUUGAAACAAAUUUAGUUUCAAUUCCAAUCGAAAAUUUGUUGGAGAUGACGCUGCGAACGCGUUCAUUGUGGCUCCACCUUUAGGGUGAAGAAUCUAUUAGUUCCAUGGAAACGCAGGGUAACAGUUCGUAACAACCGUUCCAUGGAAUUUGUUUAAACAAAAACAAACCGCGUUAUUCUUCGGUGAUAUCAAAGAAAUAUAUUUUAUUGCCACUGCCAUUAACGAUCAGUAAACCUAACCUCUUUGUCGCUCCAAUCCACCAAAAUUUGGACAUGGAGUACUUCAUCGCGAAAUUGUGUAUUCGCGCAUGAUCAGAUGUAAUAUAAAUCUUUCGGUGUCAGAAAAAUUCCUUCUCUGUGUGUAUGCCUUAAACGAUACGAUAUCUGUGAAAGCGUCGUGAACGUAAACAAUACUAUUUCACACAUUAUUUUUAACGUUCCGUGUUAUUUUCGUUUCGCCUAUCGUCGAGCUCAUUACAGUUAGCAAUGACUGCCGUCGAGGUUUGUUUUCGUGCGACCAGACGGUCUUCUGUGUUCCCAAUAAUACGUCGUUGUCUGUAUGGCUCUAUUUACUUAACGUGUCUGAAUGCUCGUCUCUCGUAAACCUGUCUCAUAGAUUUCGUUAAUACAGAAAUGCGAGGUACAGAUGAUACAUAUCGUGCCGCGAUUAACUUUUAUUUACAUGCAGACUAAGUUGACGAGCAUAAACAUGGCCGUCGCGCUUUGUGAUGAUUACUUGUGCCAGUUUGAAUUCAAGGAAGUCCCUCGAGAAUGGAAAUAAUGGAUGGAACGCAUGCAUCCGAG
rnacentral:misc_RNA from 1 species